CAGCGCCGCGAGUGGCAAUCGUGUAUUUGGCCUAAAGCGUCCGUAGCCGGAUUUGUAAAUCUUUUGUGAAAUCGUUGAGCUCAACUUAACGGCGUGCAGAAGACACUGCGAGUCUUGAGACCGGGAGGAGAUAGAGGUAUUCUAGGGGGAGCGGUAAAAUGCUAUAAUCCCUGGAGGACCACCAGUGGCGAAGGCGUCUAUCCAGAACGGAUCUGACGGUGAGGGACGAAAGCCAGGGGAGCGAACCGGAUUAGAUACCCGAGUAGUCC
rnacentral:rRNA from 1 species